UUUUCCGUGUUAAUUGUGUCGUCCCUCAAUUAUUAGGAAAUAUAUUAAUGUGAUAAAUGUAGAUUACCUAAUUAUGUGAUACGGCCGCCGGUGUCAACAAACCGCAAAAUUAUUAUUUUCGUGUGCCGGUCAUAUAAAAUCAAUAUUGUCAAAGGCGCUAAUCGUCAAAUAUUUAUUAUUGUUUUUAUAAGUUUUGAAGCGCGAAUUGCCAUACAUAUUAUUAUAACAUAUUCUGUGAAGGGCCUGAGUCCCUAUAUAUUAUUAUUAUAUUUUUUUUGUGUCAAAUUAUUUAUACAGACACUGGUAGCAAGCCGGCCAGCCGUGCACCAACAAACUUAAACUUGUGCCAUGGCAAAGCUUAUUAGUGUUCAUGUUGGAUCAUUUUUAUCACAUUAAAUAACAAUGCAAAUAUAUAGAAAGCAAAACUAGCCUACCAAUCCUAUUACAAUGCAAGAAUUUCAUGAGGAAUUAAUUAGAAAAUACUCACAUUUGGUAACAAUUAACGAUGAUCUGUUAUGUUCAGGCUUGCCUCAUAUUUCGAUAAUGAAUGUAGACAGUUAUAUUAUGUUAUAAUGGGAAUUACAUUCAAUCCUGGGUUUCCGAUUUCUUUUGCCCUUAUGUCUAGAAAGACAACCAUAGCUGGAAAUACUUUUGAGUAUUGGACCACAGUGUCAGCCUGAAACAGUAACCAUAGAUUUUGAGCCAGCAGCUAUGGCAGGAAUUAAAUAAAUAUUCCUAGGCAUAAGCAUACGAGAUUGUUGGUUCCAGUCAGGCUAUUUGAAAGAAAAUGGGAAGUCUUGGUAUGACUCAGUUGUACACAAGAGAUCGCGGAGUAUAUGAUACUGACCAUAAAUAUAUUAAAUUUAAUAUAAUAUAUUGCCAUUAAUACCAAGAAUAUCAUCAUUUGAAAUAACGCCGGUUUUGCUUCAACUGUGGCAUUGUGAAGUUGAAGUUGAUCGGCCCUUUGUGUUUUACAUUCGAAGAAGAUGCAUUGUGGAUUUCAGAUUUUCCAGUUAUAAUUUACAACACCGGAUUACAUUCAUUUGAUUUUUUUUUUUGCUGGGAAAUUUUUAAAAUGGCUUCAUAAUUUUGAAUUGUAAAUAUUUUUCAAUAUUAUAAAAUGACGUGGAUAACAGGUGUUUAUGCAAAUAUGUUAUUUGUGAGUGACACUGUUUGUAGAACAAAUAAUGUUCUAGAAGUAAGUCAUCAAGACUUAAGAUGCAAAUUGGAAACAAUCAUAAACUGGAGCCAUGGGUGUAUCUAAGAUAAUAUGCAAUAUAUGAGGUGUUGGGCAAUUCCGAGUGGAGUUUGGUAGCCAAUGGAAAGGUUGCCAACGUCAUGUCAAACUGGGAAAGAUAUAGAAACGCCGACAUCGGAGCGCCAAACACAUCCAAGCUCCUCCGAAAGCAGUUACAUAUUUCCUGUUCAAGAAACACCUAUUCUUCAAUUAGUAUAGCCUGGAUGGACCUGUGGAAAAAAAGUGUUGUACCAUCAGGUGCUGCAUGGCCUCCUAUGCAAUUGUUCCCGCCCAUUUAGCAAUAAUAUGUCACAUCAUAAUGUUAUACAAAUGAUUUGAAUUUGAUUGUUGAUGAAGUUCUUCAAGGUUCAAAGGUAAUUCCUGGACUCAGAGGAAAUUCAAACAUUUAUAUUGACCACAGAGGGUUCUCGUACUACCAACACUCUAUUAGGGAAGAUAUUAGAUACCUUACGUGCAGCAGAAGACGUUAUAGAUGUUUUGUCACUGGGCAAAUGCGAACUGAAGUGGGUUCGACCAUACUAUUGUCCAGGCAAUGAGGUCAUAAUCAUGAGCCACAGACGAGGCAUGACGAAGAGGUUAGAAUGUUUUUCAAUAGGAUCUGUGAGAGGGAUACUUUAGAGAAUAUUCCACCUCAAAUUAUUUUUAAUGAAGAUGCUCAACAGUAAGAUACAAACUUAGUUGUGAAAAAAAAUAUAAAAAAAACAAUAUCAAUAAAUAUAUAUACAGUGUGUCCCAAAAGUCCCGUAUCACCCUUAAUAUCUCCAUGUAAAAUCACUAUAUUUAAACGUGGUUUUUUUUACAGUACUAAGUAUGAAAAUUCUGAUUGAAUGGCAUAAAAUUCAUUUAUUUUUUUCUUUAAAUUCAAAAAUUUCCAAAAAUUUUUUUACGCAUUUAAGAUUUUAAAAUUUUUAAGAUAGCCAUUUUGUUGAGCAUAUUUUU